rnacentral:misc_RNA from 1 species
AAAAACUCAAGCUCCAUUAAUGGCGACCGACUCUUCCACUCAUCCCUCCUGCAAGCUUCAUCAGCUGCUGCAUGUCGCCGGUCCGCCUUCUCCAAUGUGGAUGCAAGUUCCUCCUCUUACCUCCAAUUCGAUCCGCCUCUGCUCGACAGCCGUUGCAUGUCGGCUGUUUGCCGGCCACUGAUCCGGCGAGCGCCACCUGCCUCAUCUUUGAUCCGGCGAA